GUGCCAGCCGCCGCGGUAAUACCGGCAGCUCGAGUGAUGGCCACUCUUAUUGGGCCUAAAGCGUCCGUAGCUGGCCGCGCAAGUCCGUCGGGAAAUCCAUCAGCCCAACUGAUGGGCGUCCGGCGGAAACUGCACGGCUUGGGACCGGAAGGCUCGAGAGGUACGUCCGGGGUAGGAGUGAAAUCCCGUAAUCCCGCACGGACCACCGAUGGCGAAAGCACCUCGAGAAGACGGCUCCGACGGUGAGGGACGAACGCCAGGGUCUCGAACCGGAUUAGAAACCCCAGUGUCC
rnacentral:rRNA from 1 species